GAUGAAAGAACGUAGCGAAAUGCGAUAAGUAGUGUGAAUUGCAGAAUUCAGUGAAUCAUCGAAUCUUUGAACGCACAUUGCGCCUCCUGGUAUUCCGGGAGGCAUGCCUGUUCGAGCGUCAUCAAAAACCUCAACCAUAAUUUAUUAUGAGUUGGUAUUGCAUUGGACUCCUUGUGGGUCCUCUGCGAAAUUCAAUGGCGAAGAGCCACGCAGCCAAAGCGUAGUAUAACUAUUUCGUUAUGGAAGCGUUGGUGCCUCUGCCGUAACCCCCCAAUUUCUUAGUUUUUGACCUCGGAUCAGGUAGGGAUACCCGCUGAACUUAAGCAUAUCAAUAAGCGGAGGA
rnacentral:misc_RNA from 1 species